CCUACGGGAGGCAGCAGUGAGGAAUAUUGGUCAAUGGACGAGAGUCUGAACCAGCCAAGUAGCGUGAAGGAUGACUGCCCUAUGGGUUGUAAACUUCUUUUAUAUGGGAAUAAAACGCUCCACGUGUGGGAUUUUGUAUGUACCAUAUGAAUAAGGAUCGGCUAACUCCGUGCCAGCAGCCGCGGUAAUACGGAGGAUCCGAGCGUUAUCCGGAUUUAUUGGGUUUAAAGGGAGCGUAGGUGGAUUGUUAAGUCAGUUGUGAAAGUUUGCGGCUCAACCGUAAAAUUGCAGUUGAAACUGGCAGUCUUGAGUGCAGUAGAGGUAGGCGGAAUUCGUGGUGUAGCGGUGAAAUGCUUAGAUAUCACGAAGAACUCCGAUUGCGAAGGCAGUUCACUGGACUGCAACUGACACUGAGGCUCGAAAGUGUGGGUAUCAAACAGGAUUAGAUACCCUUGUAGUC
rnacentral:rRNA from 1 species